AGUGAACGCUGGCGGUAGGCCUAACACAUGCAAGUCGAACGGCAGCACAGAGGAGCUUGCUCCUUGGGUGGCGAGUGGCGGACGGGUGAGGAAUACAUCGGAAUCUACUCUGUCGUGGGGGAUAACGUAGGGAAACUUACGCUAAUACCGCAUACGACCUACGGGUGAAAGCAGGGGAUCUUCGGACCUUGCGCGAUUGAAUGAGCCGAUGUCGGAUUAGCUAGUUGGCGGGGUAAAGGCCCACCAAGGCGACGAUCCGUAGCGUGGUCUGAGAGGAUGAUCAGCCACCCUGGAACUGAGACACGGUCCAGACUCCUACGGGAGGCAGCAGUGGGGAAUAUUGGACAAUGGGCGCAAGCCUGAUCCAGCCAUACCGCGUGGGUGAAGAAGGCCUUCGGGUUGUAAAGCCCUUUUGUUGGGAAAGAAAUCCAUCUGGUUAAUACCCGGGUGGGAUGACGGUACCCAAAGAAUAAGCACCGACUAACUUCGUGCCAGCCGCCGCCGUAA
rnacentral:rRNA from 1 species